CAUACGGGUGGCAGCAGUGGGGAAUAUUGGACAAUGGGCGAAAGCCUGAUCCAGCCAUGCCGCGUGUGUGAAGAAGGCCUUCGGGUUGUAAAGCACUUUCAGUGGGGAAGAAAGCCUUGGGGCUAAUACCCUCGAGGAAGGACAUCACCCACAGAAGAAGCACCGGCUAACUCCGUGUCAGCAGCCGCGGUAAUACGGAGGGUGCGAGCGUUAAUCGGAAUUACUGGGCGUAAAGCGCGCGUAGGCGGUCUGAUAAGCCGGUUGUGAAAGCCCCGGGCUCAACCUGGGAACGGCAUCCGGAACUGUCAGGCUAGAGUGCAGGAGAGGAAGGUAGAAUUCCCGGUGUAGCGGUGAAAUGCGUAGAGAUCGGGAGGAAUACCAGUGGCGAAGGCGGCCUUCUGGACUGACACUGACGCUGAGGUGCGAAAGCGUGGGUAGCAAACAGGAUUAGAUACCCGAGUAGUC
rnacentral:rRNA from 1 species